UUCACUAAUCAAUGUUUUCUUACCGUCUUUGUAUCAGUUGAAGUUCUUGAUGAUCUCAGCCACCUUCGACAUUUAUGGGAUACUAAAGUGGUGAAGUUCAUAAAUAGCGGAAUGAGUUAACAUUUAACAGGUGGAGAUGCCUUAGAGAGAAGUUCCUUUUAUAAAUCGGUUUGUACCAUUGAUGGUGUUACUGUUCCUUCUUUUCUUUUGCUGUUUACUUUUUAUUUGUUAUCACUGUAUUUCUACUUUUAUUAUUCUAUCAUUUUGUUAGACUAUAUCUUUGAUUUUUUUUUUAGUUGUUUUUAUUAUCUUUUUUGUUGGAUGAAUCUAGAUAUUGUGGAAUUUUACUCUUAAGGAAUUCUGUUACUCUGUUCAGUGGCUACAAAGAAAAAAUUAUCCGGACUCAUUGAUUAAACGCUGACCGUUUAGGAUUCUCUGCUUGUUCUGCUCUUCACCCCAUGAUCCUUCGCUCAUCAGUUAUUUUGCAUAAUUUGACUAGCUCAUCAAAGUUU